rnacentral:misc_RNA from 1 species
GAUGAAGAAGUAGCGAAAUGCGAUACUUGGUGUGAAUUGCAGAAUCCCGUGAACCAUCGAGUCUUUGAACGCAAGUUGCGCCCGAAGCCAUUAGGCCGAGGGCACGCCUGCCUGGGCGUCACACGUCGUUGCCCCCCCAUCUACUCCUUCGGGAUUGCGGGGGGCGGAUGAUGGCCUCCCGUGCGCCUCGUCGCGCGGUUGGCAUAAAUGCCAAGUCCUCGGCGACGCACGCCACGACAAUCGGUGGUUGCGAAACCUCGGUUGCCCGUCGUGUGCGGUCGUCGCGCAUCGAGGGCUCGAAAAAAUUGCCGGGCUCCGGCUCGGCUUUCAACGCGACCCCAGGUCAGGCGGGGUUACCCGCUGAAUUUAAGCAUAUCAAUAAGCGGAGGA